GCUUACGGCCAUACCACACUGAGCACGCCCGAUCUCGGAAGCUAAGCAGUGUCGGGCCUGGUUAGUACUUGGAUGGGAGACCGCCUGGGAAUACCAGGUGCUGUAAGCU
ensembl:rRNA 5S_rRNA 5S ribosomal RNA